AGCAGCCGCGGUAAUUCCAGCUCCAAUAGCGUAUAUUAAAGUUGUUGCAGUUAAAAAGCUCGUAGUUGAAUUUCGGGGUUAGCAAGUUGGUCGUGCCUUUGGUAUGCACUGGCUUUGCUGAUUCCUCCUUCUUGAAGAACUGUGAUGCUAUUAAUUUGGUGUUGCAGGGAAACAGGACUGUUACUUUGAAAAAUUAGAGUGUUUAAAGCAGGCUAACGCUUGAAUACAUUAGCAUGGAAUAAUGAAAUAGGACGUUUGAUCCUAUUUUGUUGGCUUCUAGGAUUGACGUAAUGAUUAAUAGGGAUAGUUGGGGGCAUUAGUAUUCAAUUGUCAGAGGUGAAAUUCUUGGAUUUAUUGAAGACUAACUACUGCGAAAGCAUUUGCCAAGGAUGUUUCAUUAAUCAAG
rnacentral:rRNA from 1 species